rnacentral:rRNA from 1 species
GAGCUGCUACGGCAGCGAAGUGGGUGAUGUCAAGCUUCCAAGAAAAGCCCUAUACCCGUUAAGGCAUGAUGGCCUGUACCCGAAACCGACACAGGUAGGGUGGUAGAGAAUACCGAGGGGCGCGAGGUAACUCUCUCUAAGGAACUCGGCAAAAUGGCCCCGUAACUUCGGGAUAAGGGGUGCCACCGCAAGGUGGUCGCAGUGAAGAGGCCCAGGCGACUGUUUACCAAAAACACAGGUCUCCGCUAAGUCGCAAGACGAUGUAUGGGGGCUGACGCCUGCCCAGUGCCGGAAGGUUAAGGAAGCUGGUCAGCGUAAGCGAAGCUGGCGACUGAAGCCCCGGUGAACGGCGGCCGUAACAAUAACGGUCCUAAGGUAGCGAAAUUCCUUGUCGGGUAAGUUCCGACCCGCACGAAAGGCGUAACGAUCUGGGCGCUGUCUCGGAGAGAGGCUCGGCGAAAUAGAAUUGUCUGUGAAGAUGCGGACUACGUGCACCCGGACAGAAAGACCCUAUGAAGCUUUACUGUAGCUUGGUAUUGUGCCCGGGCUCGCAAUGCGCAGGAUAGGUGGGAGGCUUUGAUCAUCGGCUUGCGGGUCGAUGUGAGCCAACGGUGAGAUACCACUCUUUGCGAGCUAGGGUUCUAACGGUCACCCGUUAUCCGGGGACCGGACAGUAUCAGGUGGGCAGUUUGACUGGGGCGGUCGCCUCCUAAAAGGUAACGGAGGCGCGCAAAGGUUUGCUCAGGCUGGUUGGAAAUCAGCCGACGAGUGUAAAAGCAGAAGCAAGCUUGACUGUGAGACCUACAAGUCGAACAGGGACGAAAGUCGGCUUUAGUGAUCCGACGGUUCUGAGUGGAAGGGCCGUCGCUCAACGGAUAAAAGUUACUCUAGGAUAACAGGCUGAUCUCCCCCAAGAGUUCACAUCGACGGGGAGGUUUGGCACCUCGAUGUCGGCUCAUCGCAACCUGGGGCUGAAGUCGGUCCCAAGGGUUGGGCUGUUCGCCCAUUAAAGCGGUACGCGAGCUGGGUUCAGAACGUCGUGAGACAGUUCGGUCCAUAUCCGGUGCACGCGCAGGAACAUUGAGAGGAUUUCUCCCUAGUACGAGAGGACCGGGAGGAACGCACCUCUGGUGUACCAGUUAUCGUGCCAACGGUAAACGCUGGGUAGCCAUGUGCGGAGUGGAUAACCGCUGAAAGCAUCUAAGUGGGAAGCCCACCUCAAGAUGAGUGUUCCCAUGGCAUUAGCCAGUAAGGUCACGGGAAGAACACCCGUUGAUAGGCUCUACGUGGAAGCGCAGUAAUGCGUGAAGCGGAGGAGUACUAAUAGACCGAGGGCUUGACC